UAUCACUGUCCCUGUGCUCACCUGUGC
rnacentral:piRNA from 1 species